rnacentral:lncRNA from 1 species
GCGUUCUUGAUGGCGCACCAGCGGCUCGGUUGCUGGCGCUGUAGAUGCCGGGGAGAAGAGGAUGUUUGUUUGGAGCACGCAGCCAGGAUACUGUAGAGCCACCAUGCCCGGAAUUCAAAGGUCCUGGCGGAUUAGAGCUGCUAUGCUCUGAUUGCUCCCACCUGUCUGCGGAGUUAACCUCCUGCUCCCGCUCGGCGCACUCAGCCGUGCAGAGCCGUCGCCAGGAUUCCAGUGGCUCGUGUCAUCCACGGAUGGCCAGCAGUGUUUUGGUUGUACUGCCGCCGCGGCACUGUCAGCAGAGCUGCCACCCUCGCCACCAGCAGAUGACACCUCAACACACAACACUGACCAGCUCAGUGCAGCCCUGCCACACUCAGUCUGGGCACAGGGAGGCAUUGGUGUGUUGGCCUCACAGGAGUCAGAACCCCAGGAGAAGAAGGGGUGAAGAACGGUAUCUGUUCUGUGUGGCGCUCCAUUGAGAAGGAGCCCCGGGGCUUUUGUGAGGUCAGCACUGAGAGAGGCGACGGUGACAGUGGCACACCGCUCUCCCCGAGCACCGGCACACACCGCUUCUCACCAACUCUUUCACCACACACACACCAGCACAGAACUGACCGAUGGAAAAAUGUGUAGCAUAAAGGUUUAAUUCAGUCUGAAUUUCAAUUAUAUUGGCAAUAAGAUUUUUUAUCAUGACAUUUUAUCAAUAUUAUCAUAUAGACCUAUUUGUUUAUUGGCAGUAUGUUUAAUAAUUCAGUUUUAGUGUACAUAUCAGUAUAUUUGUCCAUUUUGUACAAUGUUGUUAAUUAAUUAUUACAGUAUUAAUCAAAACAUAAUAAUUACAAAUUGUAUUAAUUAGUAGUAAUUCAGCCGGUGGUACAGAACAUAAAUGUGAUUUUAAAUUUAUAUUUAACGGACAUGCAAUUAUAAUUAUUUCUAUAUUUAUAAAACAUUAAUAAAAAGGUCAGUGAAUCAUAUAAGUUAAAUCUG